rnacentral:rRNA from 1 species
GAUGAACGCUGGCGGCGUGCCUAAUACAUGCAAGUCGAGCGAACAGACGAGGAGCUUGCUCCUCUGACGUUAGCGGCGGACAGGUGAGUAACACGUGGAUAACCUACCUAUAAGACUGGGAUAACUUCGGGAAACCGGAGCUAAUACCGGAUAAUAUAUUGAACCGCAUGGUUCAAUAGUGAAAGACGGUUUUGCUGUCACUUAUAGAUGGAUCCGCGCCGCAUUAGCUAGUUGGUAAGGUAACGGCUUACCAAGGCAACGAUGCGUAGCCGACCUGAGAGGGUGAUCGGCCACACUGGAACUGAGACACGGUCCAGACUCCUACGGGAGGCAGCAGUAGGGAAUCUUCCGCAAUGGGCGAAAGCCUGACGGAGCAACGCCGCGUGAGUGAUGAAGGUCUUCGGAUCGUAAAACUCUGUUAUUAGGGAAUAACAAAUGUGUAAGUAACUAUGCACGUCUUGACGGUACCUAAUCAGAGAGCCACGGCUAACUACGUG